rnacentral:rRNA from 1 species
GCGGCGGACGGGUGAGUAAAGCCUAGGAAAUUGCCCUGAUGUGGGGGAUAACCAUUGGAAACGAUGGCUAAUACCGCAUGAUGCCUAUGGGCCAAAGAGGGGGACCUUCGGGCCUCUCGCGUCAGGAUAUGCCUAGGUGGGAUUAGCUAGUUGGUGAGGUAAGGGCUCACCAAGGCGACGAUCCCUAGCUGGUCUGAGAGGAUGAUCAGCCACACUGGAACUGAGACACGGUCCAGACUCCUACGGGAGGCAGCAGUGGGGAAUAUUGCACAAUGGGCGCAAGCCUGAUGCAGCCAUGCCGCGUGUAUGAAGAAGGCCUUCGGGUUGUAAAGUACUUUCAGUCGUGAGGAAGGCGGCGUCGUUAAUAGCGGCGUUGUUUGACGUUAGCGACAGAAGAAGCACCGGCUAACUCCGUGCCAGCAGCCGCGGUAAUACGGAGGGUGCGAGCGUUAAUCGGAAUUACUGGGCGUAAAGCGCAUGCAGGUGGUUUGUUAAGUCAGAUGUGAAAGCCCGGGGCUCAACCUCGGAAUAGCAUUUGAAACUGGCAGACUAGAGUACUGUAGAGGGGGGUAGAAUUUCAGGUGUAGCGGUGAAAUGCGUAGAGAUCUGAA